GGGCCUGCUGGACAUGUGCGGGCGUCUGGGCGUUGCACCGCGACCAUCUCCACGGGCCACACAACGCCCCAGGGCGCCGGUGUCUGCCCCGGAGACCCCGGGGCAGAACAUGAAACAAGCACAGAGAAGAUGCCCACACUGGAUGGAUGCUCACGUUUAACACAGUUUGUGACAAGAAUAGGGCUGAGGGGAAACCAUCUCCUGCCCAGCCUGGAGUUCCUCCUUUGGUACAGGUGCAUUCUUCAGCCUCAGGUCUCAGGGACUCCAUCUUGCCCAAAUGCCCUGGGGAAGUCCGGGCUGGCUCCAGGUUUGCAGCCCCUUCUUCAGGACUCUGCUCUUCCACUCUGCUCAGCGGCCAGGUGCCUCCUUCGUGGGGAAGAGAAAGUCCAGGGAAACGUAAGGGACACAGGAUGAGGCCAUGAGGCUUUUCCUCUGCUGAUGAGGUCCAGGUUGCCUCCACAUCACUGGAAUCUGCACUGGGACAAAGACCUUGGCAUGAACCUGCAUGUGGACCCUGUGCUAAG